AUCAAAUCACACGUUGUUGACAGUAGCCUCUCUAGGUAGCCUGAUGUUAACGAGACUGUGAUUGGACACUCCUAAGUAAGUAUCCAAUCACAAGUUUCAAUUUAGCAGGAAGCGGGAAGUGUUGCGCCGUAUCCAGACCGAGAAGGAGAACAAAACGUUGUUUAAGUGGCAGAUAUAUAUAUUGCCAGGCCAUUUUCAAGAGGAUAUUUAAAGAGAAGAGAAACUACAUUUUGUGAGACCAUGUCGGCCAACCCCAGAAGCUAGCUAAGCUGUUCUGGCGAUGAAAUGGGGACGGCGUCGAAUAGGCGAUACUAAUUGGAAAACGUUGGCGUCUCGCUGAUUACCAGGAAAACUACAGCUGAUACAUCAACCUAGAUUGGCGAUAUUCAACUAAACUGUUUCAGGGGCCAAAGUUCCAGAAAGCUAAGGACGGAGGAUCACUGUCACUGGAAUCAUUGACAGCUGGCAGAUCAUCUUCACAGAGAUGCGAGGAGGAAGCAAAUGGUAACCGGAUCAUUGACACCCACGGCCAGACGACUUGGGGAACUUAUUCCCGUGUUAGUUACCAUGUGAUCCUGAAUAUUUUACAACCCCUACUUCUCAAUGCCGGACAAAUACCAAUAUUUUUUUCCAGCCUGCAGAGGUAAAAACUAACAAUGGGCGUGUGUGGAGCUGACACCAUAAGGAACAUAGUACACCUGAGUGAUGGUUCUUACCUGUUUCUGCGGAUGAAGCUUUUGCUGGAAAAGACUCAGCGGAUGAGAGCGGCGGUGCUAAAGUCACACCUCGGCCCAGUAAAAGGCAGUCUGGCUAUGAGAGCCAAAACAUCAGGUGUCCAGUGGAGGCUCCGACGUGCCAAAGUUCUCACACCAACCCAACGUAAAGGAUCUUAAUGAGACCUCAGCCCUGCU